rnacentral:misc_RNA from 1 species
GAAAAUGGAAGGCUUGGCAUCGUGAUGAACUUUAAUAAUGAAGGUUCUAGGUAGGUCAUUUGUAGAAGGAUGAUAACGAAAGGAUAGAAAGAAGAGAAAAAAAAAAUGUAGCCAUUGAAGAGCAAGAAAGAAUGGUAACAAAUAUUUGAAAACUUAUCAUAGUCAAAGAACAAUAGGGAAAUCUAACUCCAAUCCCAAAAAUUAUUUUCCAUAUUUCUAAUUGAAUCCUCUAACGAAAAAGAACCCAACUUGAACUUCAAAAUGAGGAUGGAACAAAAAGAACCGAUUUGCUAUUUAAUUGUUUUCAACUUCACAUUGCACAAUCUCUCUCUUGAUUUCCUUUGUAGAAUGGCUUACACAAGGGUUGUUUUGCUUGCGCUGUUGGUAUUGCUGGUGGGAUCUGCCAUGGCACAAUCUCCGGCGUCGUCACCUAACAAAUCUCCACGUUUGGCUCCCUUAUUGUCAUCUUCCUCAGCUUCAUUUGGCACUUCACCAUAUGAAGCUCAUAGCUUGGUAGUGAGCAACACCAUUUCUAAUAGAUUAUCGAUGGUUGGAUUAAUGGCUUCUUAAGAAACAGGAGAGGGGCGGAGAUGGUGGGAGAGAAAAGAGGAUGAGAGAGAUAGAGGGUACAAGAGAGAAGAGAGG